rnacentral:rRNA from 1 species
GACGUAGGGCGCGAGCGUUGUCCGGAUUUAUUGGGCGUAAAGAGCUCGUAGGCGGCUCGUUGCGUCGGCUGUGAAAACCCGCAGCUCAACUGUGGGCUUGCAGCUGAUACGGGCGGGCUGGAGUUCGGUAGGGGAGACUGGAAUUCCUGGUGUAGCGGUGAAAUGCGCAGAUAUCAGGAGGAACACCGGUGGCGAAGGCGGGUCUCUGGGCCGAUACUGACGCUGAGGAGCGAAAGCGUGGGGAGCGAACAGG